UACUAGAGUAGCACUCGCAUAUCAAUAAGCGGAGGAAAAGAAACUAACAAGGAUUCCCCUAGUAACGGCGAGUGAAGCGGGAAGAGCUCAAAUUUGAAAUCUUAAAGGGUUUCCCUUUACGAAUUGUAGUUUAAAGAAGUGUUUUCUGUUGAGGUUUUGGUAAAAGUUCUUUGGAAUAGGACAUCAUAGAGGGUGAGAAUCCCGUAUUUGACCUUUACUUUCAACUUUGUGAUACACUUUCAAAGAGUCGGAUUGUUUGGGAAUGCAGUCCAAAAUGGGUGGUAAAUUUCAUCUAAAGCUAAAUAUUGGCGAGAGACCGAUAGCGAACAAGUACCGUGAGGGAAAGAUGAAAAGAACUUUGAAAAGAGAGUUAAACAGUACGUGAAAUUGUCAAAAGGGAAGCGUUUGACACCAGUGUUGUUUUUCUGAAAAUCAAUUAAAGAACUGUUUAUGCUAAGCUGUUUAGACUUUAUCAGCUAUCUGUUUAGUUUUGAGCUUUUCUUUAAUGCACUUUUCAGUUAACAAGUCAACAUCAAUAUCUUUUGCUGUAAAAAAGCUUGAGGAAGGUGGCUUGAGAUUCGUCUUAAGUGUUUAUAGCCUCUUGCCUAUGCAGUCGGAGAGAUUGAGGUCUGCAGCGUAGAUCCUUCGGGGCUAAAUGCAUUUGUGCUAAGUUAUAGCAUUUUACAGACAACUUGUUGACUAUGAUUUGUCUUGUAGCUUACUCGCUUAUGUUAUUUUACCUACGCUUAGGAUGUUGAACUCUAUCACACACAG
rnacentral:rRNA from 1 species